AAAUAGAUACCCAGGUAGUCCACGCCCUAAGCGAUGCGAACUGGAUGUUGGGUACAUUACGGUACUCAGUGUCGAAGCUAACGCGUUAAGUUCGCCGCCUGGGGAGUACGGUCGCAAGACUGAAACUCAAAGGAAUUGACGGGGGCCCGCACAAGCGGUGGAGUAUGUGGUUUAAUUCGAUGCAACGCGAAGAACCUUACCUGGCCUUGACAUCUGUCGAAUCCUGCAGAGAUGCGGGAGUGCCGCAAGGAACGACAAGACAGGUGCUGCAUGGCUGUCGUCAGCUCGUGUCGUGAGAUGUUGGGUUAAGUCCCGCGACGAGCGCAACCCUUGUCCUUAGUUGCCAGCACGUAAUGGUGGGAACUCUAAGGAGACUGCCGGUGACAAACCGGAGGAAGGUGGGGAUGACGUCAAGUCCUCAUGGCCCUUACGGCCAGGGGCUACACACGUACUACAAUGGUCGGUACAGAGGGUUGCGAAGCCGCGAGGUGGAGCCAAUCCCAGAAAGCCGAUCCCAGUCCGGA
rnacentral:rRNA from 1 species